rnacentral:rRNA from 1 species
GACGAACGCUGGCGGCGUGCUUAACACAUGCAAGUCGAGCGGAAAGGCCCUGCGUUUGUGGGGUGCUCGAGUGGCGAACGGGUGAGUAACACGUGAGUAACCUGCCCUUGACUGUGGGAUAACUUCAGGAAACUGGGGCGAAUACCGGAUAGGAGCUCCUGCUGCAUGGUGGGGGUGGGAAAGUUUCGGCGGUUGGGGAUGGACUCGCGGCUUAUCAGCUUGUUGGUGGGGUAGUGGCUUACCAAGGCUUUGACGGGUAGCCGGCCUGAGAGGGUGACCGGCCACAUUGGGACUGAGAUACGGCCCAGACUCCUACGGGAGGCAGCAGUGGGGAAUAUUGCACAAUGGGCGGAAGCCUGAUGCAGCAACGCCGCGUGCGGGAUGACGGCCUUCGGGUUGUAAACCGCUUUCGCCUGUGACGAAGCGUGAGUGACGGUAAUGGGUAAAGAAGCACCGGCUAACUACGUG